GAUCAUGGCUCAGGAUGAACGCUGGCGGCGUGCAUAACACAUUCAAGUCGAACGGGGCAGCAAUGCCUAGUGGCGGACGGGUGAGUAACGCGUGAGCAACCUGCCCGUUGCGUGGGGGAUACCAUCUGGAAACGGAUGUUAAUACCGCAUAAAGUACAGGCGACCGCAUGGUCGUAGUACCAAAGAUUUAUUGCGCAAGGAUGGGCUCGCGUCCCAUUAGAUAGUUGGUGAGGUAACGG
rnacentral:rRNA from 1 species